GGCUCCGGCCACGGCCCCCGGGCGCCGGCUACUCGUCCCCCCACGCGCGCACCACCGCCAACGUCAAGGACUUGACCUUCCCAGCCCCCACCCCACGGAGCGCAGACGCCGGCGGGAGGCGACCCCCGGGGGGCCGUCGCGCCCCCAGCACCUGAUCCUUUGGGCGAGUCGCGUCGCCCCCAGAGCCCCGAUGUCCUCUUGGGCCGAGUCGGGGCUGCGGGAGCGAGCUUGGGGUCGGAGCAGAAGCUGCACCUGCCGGCCCCAGUCUCUGCUCGCUGCGCGGGGUGUGGGGGGGCGCCUGUCCUCGGGAGUCCGUCCUGGAGACUUCGACUGUGGCCUCUCAGAGCCGGCUUGGUCUGCGCGACCUUAGUGGGAUGCCCAAGUCCCCCGGAGAUGCAGAGGCCCGUCCGAGUGGACGAGGGUCCGGCGAAUCCCACAGGGGUCUCUGCGGUUCUCCCCUCUUCCUUGAGUCGGGGCCCCCACCUUGUCUCAGCUGGAGCCGGAGGCAAACCCACACCAGGACAGCCGUGCACACCCCGUGUGCCAGGCGCUGCGACCCCAAGACAGCAUCGUGGGCUCCACUGUGCAGAUGGGGAAACCAAGUCAGAAAGGAGAAAGGGCCUCUCCACCGGGGAGACCACCCUCAAGAGACCCCCCCCUCGGGACAGAUGGUCCCAUGAGGAGCCACCAGCUGUAUUCAAGCCUGUGCCGAAGGAAGGACCCAGAUGGUACAGUCAGAUGGGACUGGACUGGACUUCUGGCUCCGACUACUGAAAAUGACCUUGGACGGAGUUAGAGAACUGAGUUUUCACCUGUGAAAUGGAAUAAAAACCCCUGUUAUACAACA